rnacentral:lncRNA from 1 species
AAUAUAAUUUUAUUAUUUUAUAAUAUAUAUAAAAAGCUCAUGGUUUCCUUUUUCUUUUUCUUUGAAUGGGAGCUAAUGCUUAUGGAGUUUUAGUCCUUAUGGAGUUUUAAAAAUCAAUUCCUAAAAUAAAUCAUUUAUUAAAUGUAUCAUGAAUACAUUCAUUUGCUGAUUUUUGUCUCUUCAACGCACUUAGCUUGACACUUCCAUAAAAUACUUACUAAUCAUAAGAAUUCUUUCUUUUUUUUAACACACAUGUACACCUGCCCACAC